GUUAGCUCAGUAGGUUACAGUGUGGUGCUGGUAACACCAAGGUCACGGGUUCGAUCCCCAUAUAGGCCA